AGGGAUAUAACUCAGUCUGGUCAGAGUUACGGUCUGAUAUAUCGUCGGUCGCAGGUUCAAAUCCUGCUAUCCCUA
rnacentral:tRNA from 1 species